GAUUUGAAACAUCUGAAGUCUGAAUGGCAAUCUGAGGCCUCCUACAUCCAUCAUUUGCUGUUCCCUGAGAUGGUGGCCUGACCUACCUACCUGGUUGUGCAUGUGACUACAAUUGGUACUGAGAUGAAUCAUGUGCCACUCUGUCUCUUGAGAUUCUUUUGAAGAUGGGCUGACUAAACUGGUAUCUGACACUCGAAAUGUAGUGAAGCUGGGUGGUGUGUCAAAACAAACUGGAGUCUCGUUGGCACUGCCCAGUUGGCUCAGCAAGUAAUUGUGAUCUCUGCAUAAUCCAAUCACAUAC